AGUUAUAGAGCAGACUAAGAAGCUAUAGGUUGAUUACUAUUAUAGAUGUUUGUUAAAUAUCAUAUCUGUCUAUUUUUGGAAAAUUCCUUGGUUUUUCAUUCUAAGCUGUUUUUGAGUGUUUUGGAAAUUGUACUGGAAAUUGUAGAGAUGGUUAUGUCAGUUCUAUAUUUCGUUUAAUAGAAAGUGAAGCAUUCUAAUGGUUUCAAUUGCAAUGGUGUUAAUAGACAAAUGAUGGUAAUGCCCAUUUAAUGCUUCCAUUCUCUUAAAUUUUAGUUUGUAUACCAAGUUGAAAUUCAGGACAGGGAAGAGCUAGAUGAUAUAGCUUGGAGGAAGAAAUCUUAAAAAUUGUUUGGGAACUUUAGUUUUCACGAUAUUAUAUGUUCAGAGUAUAUUGAUAAGAAGCACGAGUCUAUUCAAAAUGCAACUACCAAUAAGAAAGCAGACUCUGAUUCUGAAGAGAAAGGAAGAGAUAUUGAGAAAAACGACAAACAUCUCAAACAAGAAGAGAUGGUAUAGUGAUUUGUAGCAUAUUUAUUUAUUUGUUUUGUUUGUUUAAUUUGACCACUAGAUUUCUCUCCAUAAUUUGCUAAAAGUUUAAUUUUUGUGUUAAACUUCAAUGUCAGAUAAAGAUUGNUGAACUGAAACAGGUUUGCUCCUGACCUGAUUUUCUUGAGGUUGGAAUACUCUGUUUAGUAUACUUGGUUUUGAACAUUUGUGNCUUCACUCCAAACUUUCUACUUUGCUCCUAUGCUAUUAUGCAAACCUUGUAAUACUAUCUUUUCACUCUAGUUCUUUUAAUCCAAACAAUCUCACCCUCCUUUCAUUUCUCUUUUGUAUUUUCUCACUCCCCACUUACCAUCACACCAUCUAAAUAAAGGCUUGAGUGCAUGAUAAUAUGGCUGUUAUAUACAUGCACAGUUUUAAAUGCACUGGAUUCUAAUGGUGCAGCAUCCUGCUUCUCACCCAACUCCGUUGACUGUUUUUUUACUGUGUUGUGCAUGCUUGCUAGUGGGUAAGGGAAGAGUGGUGACUCAAUUGACAACCCUUACUCUAAAUGGCACUGAACCCACUUCAGUAACUUUUGUCUUUGCAAUGUUUUCUUCUGUUUUCUCAUGCACACUUAUAUUGAGAAGGAAGAGAGUAAAAUGUUGAAACAAAAGCAAAAGGAAUGCAUGCAACCAAAACUGCAGUAAAUGGAAUUUGAUUAUCAGGUUUUAUUAGAAUCUUGUAGAUAUGUUAAAAUUCUAUAAUCUAGUAACUCUUGGUAUUAGGAUCAAUGAAUUUGAUUUUUAUAUUUAUGUUAUAAGCUAAAAUAGGGUAACUGAAUAUCUUGUAAUCAUGGUUUCUCUCCUAUAAUUGAAUAGCUCCGCAGUGGUCUAAACAUUCUUGGUUUUUCUGUUUUCAACAUGGUAUCAAUAGUCUAAUAAAAAGGGAAUCUUAAUCUGUGUUUUCUCUAGUUGAAUCUAUUUUUCAUCAUUGGCAACUUUCUGGCAAGCUUUUUUCAUCCUUAGCCACCACCACUCACUACUAGCAUCAUUUGGCAAACAAUGUAUACCGAACAUUUUUUUCUCUUAGAGGUGUUUACCACCCUUUAAGCCUUUGUAUUUUCUAGCAAUUGUUCUGCCUUCCUAUUCUUUUUUUCUCUCCGGUGUCCAUUGCACCCUCCAAGUAAUUUUUCCUCGAUGGCAAUUGCUGGACCCUCCAAUAGCCGCUGCACUCUCUUAGAACUUUUGCUCUUAGGUAGCUAUUGAAGACUAAUCCAUUUUUUCUCUGACAGUUAUGUUUUGUCAGCAUUUUUGCUCCUUAGAAACCACCACACUCUAAACAUUUUGAUGUGCUCUCUCUGCAUAUUUUUGUUUCUCCAGUAAUCACUGUGUCCUUUUCACAUUUUUGCUAUUCAGCACCGCACCCUCUAAUCAUUUUUGCUAUCCAAUUCUAUGAUUUUGUUUUGUAAUCUUGAGGUUCUACCUUCUAUCUUAUUUGUUUCUUUAAGGAAAUCAAGUACAUAUUUUCGUUGGCAGAUGAAA